CUGUCCUCCCCUCGGCAUGACCCUCUUGGCCAUCCAUGAUCCUUGGCCCAGCUCCAAGGCACAUAUACCAAUCGAUAUACCAUAAGCCUUCCUUGUUCUCCAUGACCGAUCGGUUCCCGUGGAUCCCCGCGAGACAUCCCCUUGCGAUGCUCACGAGACUUGCCCGUUUAGGUAGGCCACACCCUUGCCCGACUAGCCCUCUAUCGCCUCUUCGCUCCAC
rnacentral:lncRNA from 1 species